rnacentral:rRNA from 1 species
UACGUAGGGGGCAAGCGUUAUCCGGAUUUACUGGGUGUAAAGGGAGCGUAGACGGCAGAGCAAGUCCGGAGUGAAAGCCCGGGGCCCAACCCCGGGACUGCUCUGGAAACUGUUGAGCUGGAGUGCGGGAGGGGCAGGCGGAAUUCCUGGUGUAGCGGUGAAAUGCGUAGAUAUCAGGAGGAACACCGGCGGCGAAGGCGGCCUGCUGGACCGUGACUGACGUUGAGGCUCGAAAGCGUGGGGAGCAAACAGG